UUUGGUGACGAUAGCGAAGAGGUCACACCCGUUCCCGUUCCCAUUCCGAACACGGCAGUUAAGCUCUUCAGCGCCGAUGGUAGUUGGGGGUUUCCCCCUGUGAGAGUAGGACGUCGCCAAGC
rnacentral:rRNA from 1 species